CACGGUAAAGCCACAAAUUUGGUCCCUCACUGCUACCGAGUUAAGAGGAAAUGGAAGAGGAUUAAGAGGUUUAGAAGAGGGCUAACCCUUUCCAUACGGUGACGACGUCGGGGUCGCCGGAGUGAAGGGGUUAAGAUGCAAGGUGUUUCAUAGAUAUAAUUCUCAAGGUGUGUUCCAUAUGCAAAAAUUUCAGUGGAUAUUUCAUAAGCAAAAUUCUCAAAGUAUUUCAUAUGCCAAAAUUUCCGGGGUGUUCCGGGGGCUUCAUGGUGCAGUGGUUAGCACACUCAGCUCACAACCGAGAGAGUCCGGGUUCGAUUCCCGGGUGGAGUGGAAAAAUUUGGGCGGCUUUUCCGAUACCCUACGCCCCUGUCCACCCAGCAGUGAAUGGGUACCAGGUAUUAAUCAGGGGUUGUGUCCUGUCUCCUGGGGUCUGUUCCCUUCUCCUAUAAUUCCUUCCCCUUCUGUCUCUCUACAGCAUAUGACCACAGAUGUUGCGCCCAAAAAAACAAACUUUCCAACUUUUCCUGGGUGUUUCAUAAGGAAAAUUCAAGGUGUGUUUCAUAUGCAAAAUUCUCAAGGGGUGUGACAUAUAGAAAAUUCUCAAGGGGUGUUUCAUAUGCAAAAUUCUCAAGGGGUGUUUCAUAUGCAAAAUUCUCAAGGUGUGUUUCGUAUGCAAAAUUCUC